GCCCCGGUAGCUCAGAGGAAGAGCGCCCUUUUCGUAAAGGGGUAGCCGCAGGUUCGAGACCUGCCCGGGGUA
rnacentral:tRNA from 1 species